AUGGCAGCGUCCCUGUCCUUGACUUAUAGCGCCGCCGGAAGCAACGCCCGCUUCAUCGCAGCGCCACUGGCAGCAGAGCCCGCUUCAUGGCAGCGUUGCCUUUCCAUGACUUGUCGCGCCGCCCGCAGCAGCACCGCCCGCAGCAGCACCGCCGCGACAUCGAAGAUGGAGACGCUCCACCUGCACUCCCUGCACCAGCAGGCUAUCCUCUCGCUGCACCGCGAGCUCAACAACACCGGCUGUGCACCAGACGCUCUUCCCUCCCGGCAGCGUCGACGCCACCCUGCAACAUCGGCUGACGCAAAUGGUGCAGGCUGA
rnacentral:rRNA from 1 species